UACAGAGGUCCCGAGCGUUGUUCGGAUUCACUGGGCGUAAAGGGUGCGUAGGUGGCGAGGUAAGUCGGAUGUGAAAGCUCGGAGCUCAACUCCGAAAUGGCAUUGGAAACUACCUUGCUCGAGGGUUGGAGGGGGGACUGGAAUGCUUGGUGUAGCAGUGAAAUGCGUAGAUAUCAAGCGGAACACCAGUGGCGAAGGCGAGUCCCUGGACAGCUCCUGACACUGAGGCACGAAAGCUAGGGGAGCAAACAGG
rnacentral:rRNA from 1 species